AUGAUUCAAGCAUAAAGCAACCAACUCACCGUCCUUUCAACAUAUUAUGGUUGACCAAAGGUAGGAGAAAUCUAAGGGAUCUUUGAUGCCAAAUUUAGUAAAUUCCUCCUCCAACCUCAAGUAUAAAUAUCCACCUCCAUCCCACAUUUCAAUCAUCCCUCAUUCAUCCUUUAUGUAACAUUACUCUUCCAUUCUCUCAUUCCCUCUCUUCAUUCCCA
rnacentral:lncRNA from 1 species